UCGGGUGCCAGUUGUCUCUGCCAAGUUAGGAGUCAGGGACUGACCUCUGUGACCCCCACAAGCUGCAGCCCUGGCUGUGUUUUCCACACUGGCCUGGGGCCCAUGUUCAUUGGCUGAGGAACCUCUUGGACCUCAUCUCUGAGGAGCACCGCCUGGGGCCCUGGGUGUGUGUCCCGCAGCAUGGCGCGGGGUGUGCACGUGCGUGUGUGCGCUCACACGAGCACCGGCUGCCGCCUCCCCGCCUGUCUCCAGGUGCCAUGUGUGGAGGGGAGAGGCUGGGCGUCGCUGCCUGCAGCACUGGCUCUGAGCCGUUGGCCAAGCCUCUCCAUUUUCCUUCCCCAUCACUCUGUAGACCCUCCUCACUCUUUCUG
rnacentral:lncRNA from 1 species